rnacentral:tRNA from 1 species
GACGAGGUGGCCGAGCGGUCUAAGGCGCUAGAUUCAGGACUAUCCGAUGAAAUCGGAGGAAAUGUUCUAGUCCGUAAGGGCGUGGGUUCAAAUCCCAUCCUCGUCA